ACGAACGCUGGCGGCGUGCUUAACACAUGCAAGUCGAACGGAAAGGCCCUGCUUUUGUGGGGUGCUCGAGUGGCGAACGGGUGAGUAACACGUGAGUAACCUGCCCUUGACUUUGGGAUAACUUCAGGAAACUGGGGCUAAUACCGGAUAGGAGCUCCUGCUGCAUGGUGGGGGUUGGAAAGUUUCGGCGGUUGGGGAUGGACUCGCGGCUUAUCAGCUUGUUGGUGGGGUAGUGGCUUACCAAGGCUUUGACGGGUAGCCGGCCUGAGAGGGUGGCCGGCGACAUUGAGACUGAGAGAGGGCGCAGAGGCGUACAGGGGGCAGCGGUGGGGAAUAUUGCACAAUGGUCGGAAGCGUGAUACGACGGCGCCGCGGGGGUGAAGCCGGCCUUCGGGGAAUAAACAGCAUUCGCCUGUGACGAAGCGGGAGUGACGGUAAUGGAAGAAUAAGCACCGGCUAACUUCGUG
rnacentral:rRNA from 1 species